CUACGGCCAUGUCACCCUGAAUAAGCCAGAUCCCAUCUGAUCUUGGAAGCUAACCAGGGUCGGGCCUGGUUAGUACUUGGAUGGGAGACCACCUAGGAAGACCAGAUGCUGUAGGCU
rnacentral:rRNA from 1 species